rnacentral:rRNA from 1 species
CCUGGCUCAGGACGAACGCUGGCGGCGUGCUUAACACAUGCAAGUCGAACGAUGAAGCCUUUCGGGGUGGAUUAGUGGCGAACGGGUGAGUAACACGUGGGCAAUCUGCCCUUCACUCUGGGACAAGCCCUGGAAACGGGGUCUAAUACCGGAUAACACUCUGUCCCGCAUGGGACGGGGUUAAAAGCUCCGGCGGUGAAGGAUGAGCCCGCGGCCUAUCAGCUUGUUGGUGGGGUAAUGGCCUACCAAGGCGACGACGGGUAGCCGGCCUGAGAGGGCGACCGGCCACACUGGGACUGAGACACGGCCCAGACUCCUACGGGAGGCAGCAGUGGGGAAUAUUGCACAAUGGGCGAAAGCCUGAUGCAGCGACGCCGCGUGAGGGAUGACGGCCUUCGGGUUGUAAACCUCUUUCAGCAGGGAAGAAGCGAAAGUGACGGUACCUGCAGAAGAAGCGCCGGCUAACUACGUGCCAGCAGCCGCGGUAAUACGUAGGGCGCAAGCGUUGUCCGGAAUUAUUGGGCGUAAAGAGCUCGUAGGCGGCUUGUCACGUCGGAUGUGAAAGCCCGGGGCUUAACCCCGGGUCUGCAUUCGAUACGGGCUAGCUAGAGUGUGGUAGGGGAGAUCGGAAUUCCUGGUGUAGCGGUGAAAUGCGCAGAUAUCAGGAGGAACACCGGUGGCGAAGGCGGAUCUCUGGGCCAUUAC